rnacentral:rRNA from 1 species
GGGAAUCUACCUAAAGGUUCGGAAUAACUGCGGGAAACUGUAGCUAAUACCGGAUGUGUCUGUAAAGAGAAAGAUUUAUCGCCUUUAGAUGAGCCCGCACUAGAUUAGCUAGUUGGUGAGGUAACUGCUCCACCAAGGCUACGAUCUAUAGCUGAUUUGAGAGGAUGAUCAGCCACACUGGGACUGAGACACGGCCCAGACUCCUACGGGAGGCAGCAGUAGGGAAUAUUGGACAAUGGGGGAAACCCUGAUCCAGCAAUGCCGCGUGAGUGAAGAAGGCCUUCGGGUUGUAAAACUCUUUCAUCAAUGAUGAUAAUGACAUUAGUUGAAGAAGAAGCUCCGGCUAACUUCGUGCCAGCAGCCGCGGUAAUACGAAGGGGGCUAGCGUUGUUCGGAAUCACUGGGCGUAAAGCGUAUGUAGGCGGAUCAAAAAGUUAGAUGUGAAAUCCCUGGGCUCAACCCAGGAACUGCAUUUAAAACUAGUGAUCUAGAAUUUGGUAAGGGUUAGUAGAAUUUCCAGUGUAGAGGUGAAAUUCGUAGAUAUUGGAAAGAAUACCAGAAGCGAAGGCGACUAACUAGGCCAUUUUUGACGCUGAGAUACGAAAGCGUGGGUAGCAAACAGGAUUAGAUACCCUGGUAGUCCACGCAGUAAACGAUGAGUGCUAGUCGCUGGUACAAUAGUAUCAGUGUCGAAGCUAACGCAUUAAGCACUCCGCCU